rnacentral:rRNA from 1 species
AUGCCCAAGCUGUUGCUCCUCUCUCUUGCAACACCUGUUGCUGUUCUUCUUCUUCUCCUCACCUGCUGCUGUUCUUCUUCCUCUCCUUACCUUGCUGUUGCACUUCUCCUCCUCCUAACCUUGCUGCUAUUCAUCUCUGAACCCCCAACAUGCUGCUGCUCCUCUCCAACAACGAUGCCGAUCUGCAGCACUUCCUCGUCACCAACCUCAAGAAACGGAGUUGCUAAUCCUCUCCAACAACCCCUUGCUGAUCCGCUCCAACUUGGCUUCGCUGAUCAUCUUCAUCCCUACUGCUCUCCUUCGCCCACAACAUCUACAGCCCAGGAAACAACUCUGAAUCUCCCUUCUCUUACUGUAGUUUUUUGA